rnacentral:rRNA from 1 species
UUAGAUGUCCGGGGCCGCACGUGCGCUACAAUGACGGUGCCAACGAGCAUGGAAACCUGGCCCGAAAGGGUUGGGCAAACUUUUCAUCACCGUCGUGACUGGGAUCGGGGCUUGCAAUUAUUCCCCGUGAACGAGGAAUUCCUAGUAAGUGCAAGUCAUAAGCUUGCGCUGAUUACGUCCCUGCCCUUUGUACACACCGCCCGUCGCUACUACCGAUUGAAUGGUCAAGCUGAGGUAAUCGGAUUGGUACUGUUUUAGCGGCUCUGUCGCUUGACUGGUAUCGAGAAGAUGACCAAACUUGAUCAUUUAGAGGAAGUAAAAGUCGUAACAAGGUUUCCGUAGGUGAACCUGCGGAAGGAUCAUUACAAGUCCCUAUCUGAAACUGAUCGGGCUCGGCUUCGGCUGGGUUCGGAACUGAUGCGUUGUAUCAGCAAUUGCGUUGGUACAGCGUGUCAUGGAAUUGACGGAUGGGCUCCUUGUGGGCCCGCGGAUUAUACUGCUGACAUAUGAAUGGAAUUGACGGAUGAGUCUUCUGCAAAUGCAGGGCUCGCGAAAACUCGGUCAUACCUGAGGGUAGUAGAGUAACAUCUGCUGCAUCUCACAAGUAUGGCCCACAUUUGGUGGGGUGCCUAUCCUGUCUGAUACCCUGAUGGUGUGCUUGUGGCUUCGGCUGCCAGUUACUGCCAAGGGUGACAGGAUAGUACUACUUUUAUAGUAGUGCAAGGCUCAAUGAGGAGUGUGGGACUACUUGUCCAGCUCCCGCCCCAUUUUGUUGUUUCAACCACCAUUUUACACUGUUUAAGUUGGUUGGGUCGGCUUGUCCGGCUUGGCUAGCUGCAAACGCAUGCCUCCAGACAUCUCGUAUGACUGGUACGCAUGUACAGUCGCCUGGCGGUGCCUCAUCCUGGGCUAGACUGCAAACCAAUAUGUUCUCAUUAGUUCGGUUUACCGGGCUAGUGGGUACAUUGUCGUACAACUCUGAGCGGUGGAUCACUCGGCUCGUGUGUCGAUGAAGAGUGCAGCCAACUGUGUGAAUUAAUGCGAACUGCGUACUGCUUUGAACAUCGACAUCUUGAACGCAUAUUGCGGCCGCGGGAUAUCCCGUGGCCACGUCUGGCCGAGGGUCGGCUUAUCAUUUAUCACGACGCCCAAAUAGUCGUGGCCUGGAUGUGUGCCAGCUGGCUUGAUUUCCCCAUUUUAUGGGGUGCUGUGCUAUGGCUCCUUCCUAAUGUGUCCGGUUACAUCUAACCUAGGAUUGUGUUCCUGAGUUGGGAUGUGGCGUUGGAUAUUGUAUGAGUCGUGGCUCAAUGACCUUGAUCGCGCUCAUGCCUUGUUCACGUUGCAUUCUUUCUUGGUUGCCUUUCCUUUGUCUGGGCAAUGUAAUCGAUGCAGUGUGCUUAUGCACCUAACCUAUUUCAAUGACCCUGACCUCGGAUCAGACGUGAAUACCCGCUGAACUUAAGCAUAUCACUAAGCGGAGGAAAAGAAACUAACCAGGAUUCCCCUAGUAACUGCGAGUGAAGAGGGAUCAGCCCAGCACCGAAGCCUGUGGCCGUUUGGCUGCUAGGCAAUGUGGUGUUCAGGUCGUCUUUUGGCAUUACUGCUCCAUCCUAAGUCCAGCACUGAGUAUGGCAACUGGAAUGGCCCAAGGAGGGUGAAAGGCCCGUGGGGGUGGA